rnacentral:lncRNA from 1 species
ACACUACAAGAAAAUAGAGAUAUGACGACACUAUAUAAAUGUCGUAUUAAGCUGUUUAAAUGUCGUAAAUUCAUUUUCCGACAUUUAGUUUACAUUUACUUCAAAUGUCGGAAAUUUGAGUGUCGUAAAUUAUUCGACACUUAAGAAAAUGUCGGUAAUUAUUAAGCGACAUUUAGUUACGACAUAUACAAAAAUGUCGAUAAUAAAUCAAC